rnacentral:rRNA from 1 species
UACAGAGGGUGCGAGCGUUGUCCGGAAUCACUGGGCGUAAAGGGCGCGUAGGUGGCCUGGUAAGUAGGGGGGUGAAAUCUCGAGGCUCAACUUCGAGGCUGCCUCCUAAACUGUCAGGCUUGAGCAGAGUAGAGGCAGGUGGAAUUGCCGGUGUAGUGGUGAAAUGCGUAGAGAUCGGCAGGAACACCCAGGGGGAGACCAGCCGGCUGGGGACGUGCUGACGCUCAGGGGCGAAAGCGUGGGGAGCAAACAGGAUAGAUACCCCUGUA